GUCACUAUAGCUCAGUGGUAGAGCGUACGAUUGCAAUAAUUUUCGUUAUCAUUAUCGUAAGGCCUCGUGUUCGAACCACGGUAGUGACU